ensembl:snoRNA SNORD58 Small nucleolar RNA SNORD58
CUGCGGUGAUGAUUUUCUUAGGACACCUUCGGACUUAACUGUGAAGAGUUAAGCGUAGUUUCUGAGCAGC